rnacentral:sRNA from 1 species
AUAAACAACCCUGAAUGAUAAACAUAAAAAUCGUAGCUAGAUCUAGAUAUACAUUCUUUCAUUUCCAGAACGAAAUGGAAAUAUAUUCAUAAUAACGAAUAUGACUGUCAGUGUGGGCUACUUAUCUAGAUCUUUGGGAUAAAAUUAAGAAUCUAGAUCUAGAAUAUGAUUGAAUAUCUUCCAUCUGAUCAUCGAUCAUCCACAAGAGACCCAAAAUUAAAAAUAGAGCAGUGAGAUUGAAGAAUGAAGAUCAUAACAAAAAUUUACAAACGAAUAUUAUAAUUCUAUCAUUUCAUUAGUCUGAAUGAUUAGACUUAGAGUAACACCUUUAGUUUUAGACUUUAGUAUCCUUUACUGACUUUAAAUUUUAGUAAAAAUAAAAUCGAUAAAUUUAUAGACCCUAUUAGGGCCUAUUCACUGAGCUGAGAAUGGAAGAGGAAAAAGUAUUGAUAUGAUCGAAAACUGGCAUUUAAUUAACAAGAAGCUAAUGGCUAACCAAAACUCCUGACAAUAUGAAAAAGUUAAGUGCUACUCUAGAUAAAAAGAUGCACAGCUGUAGGAACUUAUGAACCUGCCCAUGUCGAACAGGUUGUACUGCUCUGAAACUUGCUUUGAAGAUAACAUCUAAGAGCAUGUACAGCUAUGAAGUAAUAGCAGUUAAAAGAAAUGAUUUCAAUAGAGACACAGAAAGACACUCAACGCAAGAUACAAUACCAGAAAUUGGAAAGAAAUGAUGCAAUGACAACAUCAAGGAAUAUUCAAGUCUUUUAAUAAAUGAGAUAAUGUGAGUAGCAGAAAACAGAGUGUUGGAAGGAACUGGUCAGUUUGACAGACUAAGGAGUAGCAUAAGUAAAGAGAAACAUCUGAACCACCUAGACCAAGUUU